rnacentral:rRNA from 1 species
UACGGAGGGGGCUAGCGUUGUUCGGAAUUACUGGGCGUAAAGCGCACGUAGGCGGCUUUGUAAGUUAGAGGUGAAAGCCCGGGGCUCAACUCCGGAAAUGCCUUUAAGACUGCAUCGCUAGAAUUGUGGAGAGGUAAGUGGAAUUCCGAGUGUAGAGGUGAAAUUCGUAGAUAUUCGGAAGAACACCAGUGGCGAAGGCGACUUACUGGACACAUAUUGACGCUGAGGUGCGAAAGCGUGGGGAGCAAACAGG